AGAGGGGUUGCUACUCAUCUGGCUGGGACAAAGAGCUUUGGUCUGGUCCCAGGCUGAAGGCUGCCAGCAUCUCUUUGCCCUUUUCCGCAGAGCAGAAUGCUCACAGAACUUCCCAGGGGAACUGAUUCACAGUCUCCCACAGACUCCCAGCGCUGCCAAGACUGAUAAGGGGCUGGAGCAAAGCUUUGCCACAUCUUGUUAGAGCCAGCUGCAAGGCAAUUGGGUGGAAUGAAACCUGGACUGUGCACCACAGCAAGGCCUGCUUGCUGUUGAUGUCAUCCUUUGCAGAUACCAAUGACCCAAGGACUGAUAGCAAAAUCAGCUUCGGGAAAAGAGGACAGUCUGACUCCUUCGUCACUGUGAUGUACCCUGAGAGACAGAGGAAUAAAUAUUGGUGGUUUAAGAGAAAAGGA